UGGGGAAUAUUGGACAAUGGGCGCAAGCCUGAUCCAGCCAUGCCGCGUGAGUGAUGAAGGCCCUAGGGUUGUAAAGCUCUUUUGUGCGGGAAGAUAAUGACGGUACCGCAAGAAUAAGCCCCGGCUAACUUCGUGCCAGCAGCCGCGGUAAUACGAAGGGGGCUAGCGUUGCUCGGAAUCACUGGGCGUAAAGGGUGCGUAGGCGGGUCUUUAAGUCAGGGGUGAAAUCCUGGAGCUCAACUCCAGAACUGCCUUUGAUACUGAAGAUCUUGAGUUCGGGAGAGGUGAGUGGAACUGCGAGUGUAGAGGUGAAAUUCGUAGAUAUUCGCAAGAACACCAGUGGCGAAGGCGGCUCACUGGCCCGAUACUGACGCUGAUGCACGAAAGCGUGGGGAGCAAACA
rnacentral:rRNA from 1 species